UACGAGAGACAUAAGAGUGCACGGUGGAUGCCUUGGCCUAGGACGGCUAUGAAGGACGCGACUAACCUGCGAAAAGCUUCGGGGAGGCGGUUUGUAGCCUUUGAUCCGGAGAUGUCCGAAUGGGGAAACCCUUCCAGUCUUGAACUGGAAAUCCGCGGAGUAACGUCUGCGAGAAGCGAACCCGGGGAAGUGAAACAUCUCAGUACCCGGAGGAAAAGAGAACAAUAGGAGUUGCGUUCCGCUCACGCGUAUGUUCGUGUGAGUGGAACGCAACUCUCGUGAUACCCCUAGUAGCGGCGAGCGAAAAGGGAAAAGCCCAAACCGAAGUCUUCGGGCUUCGGGGUUGUAAGGUAUAAGCUUCGUACUUGUACGAGAAGAGUUAUCAAUCGUCUUUAUAGCGGAAGCUGUUGGAAAGCAGCGCCACAGAGGGUAAUGGCCCCGUACGCGAAAUGAAGUCGACUCUUGCUUAUAUUCUUGAGUAACUCGAGACACGAAUAGCUCGAGUGAAUCUGCCGGAACUAACCGGUAAGGCUAAAUACGUCCUAUGACCGAUAGUGAACUAGUACCGUGAGGGAAAGGUGAAAAGCACCCCGAGAGGGGAGUGAAAUAGACCUGAAACCGUGUACUUACAAGGGGUCGAAGCGGAUGUCGUAAGACAUUCCGUGACGGCAUGCCUAUUGAAGAAUGAGCCGGCGAGUGUGUAUAUCUUGCGUAGCUAAGCCCUUCCGGGGCGGAGCUUAAGGGAAACCGAGCGUGAAUAGCGCGUCUGUAGGAUAUAUACGACCCGAAGCCAGAUGAGCUUGCCAUGAGCAGGGUGAAGU
rnacentral:rRNA from 1 species